AUCGACCUCGGAUCAGGUAGGGAUACCCGCUGAACUUAAGCAUAUCAGGGGGGGGGGGAA
rnacentral:rRNA from 1 species